ACAAAUCUCAGCAAUGGAUAUCUCGGCUCUCGCAUCGAUGAAGAAUGUAGCGAAAUGCGAUACUUGGUGUGAAUUGCAGAAUCCCGUGAACCAUCGAGUCUUUGAACGCAUGUUGCGCCCGAAGCCACUAGGCCGAGGGCACGCCUGCCUGGGCAUCACGCAUCGCGUCGCCCCCUUCCCAUGCCCAAAUGCGUGGUAGGGAUGGAGAGUGGUCCCCGUGCGCGGCGCUGCGCGGUCGGCCCAAAUGUGAUCCCCCAGCGACACACGUCACGACAAGUGGUGGUUAAACCCUCAACGCACACUGUCGUGCACCACCACAUCGGGACUCACGAUCAGACCCAAAAGCAUGUGUGAGCACGUCGCCUUUGAUCGCGACCCCAGGUCAGGCGGAUCACCGGCUGAGUUUAAGCAUAUCUAUAAGCAGAGGAAAAGAAACUUACAAGGAUUCCUCUAGUAACGACGAGCGAAUUGGGAAUAGCCCAACUUGAGAAUCAAGCGGCCACACCAUUCGAAUUGUAGUCUGGAGAAGCGUCCUCAGCGGCGGGUUGGGGUCGAGUCCCCUGGAAUGAGGCGCCAUAGAGGGUGAGAGCCCCGUUGCUCCCGGACCCUAUCACACCACGAGGCACUGUUGGCGAGUCGGGUUGUUUGGGAAUGCAGCCCCAAUCGGGCGGUAAAUUCUAUCCAAGGCUAAAUAUGGCAAGAGAUCAAUAGUGAACAAGUACCGCAAGGGAAAGAGGAAAAGGACUUUGAAAAGAGAGUCAAAUAGUGCUUGAAAUUGUCGAGAGGGAAGCGGAUGGGGUCCAGCGAUACGUCCUGAUCGGAUGUGGAAUGACGAGAGUCUGUUCGCCGAUAGACUCGGGGGGUGGACCAGCAAAGAUCGACACGACACUCAAAGCUCGAGUAGUUGAUAUGCUCAUUGUACGGCAUCACGCCGAUCAAGGCUGACAACGCGCGCCUCGUGCAUGCCUCAGCAACUGCCCAAGGAGUCUCCAUUCGGGCUCUCCAUUCGAAUCAUCUUGAAACAUGGACCAAGGAGUCUGACAUGUGUGCGAGUUAACGGGUAACUAAACCCGUAAGACGUAAGGAAGCUGACUGGUGUGAUCCCCCCGAGGGGUGCACUGCCAACCGACCUUGAUCUUCUGAGAAGGGUUCGAGUGAGGGUACCUGCCGGGAUCCAAAAGAUGGUGAAUUAUGCCUGAGUGUGGCGAAGCAAGAGGAAACUCUGGUGGAGGCCCGCAGUGAUACUGGGAUGCAAAUCGUUCGACUGACUUGGGUAUAGGGGAGAAAGACUAAUCAAACCAUCUAGUAGCUGGUUCCCUCCGAAGUUUCCCUCAGGAUAGCUGGAGCUCUAGUGUGAGUUCUAUCGGGUAAAGCCAAUGAUUAGAGGCAUUGGGGGCAAAACGCCCUUGACCUAUUCUAAAACUUUAAAUAGGUAGGACGGUGUAGUUGCUCCGUUGAGCCGCGUCGGAGAAUCGUGAGCUCCAAGUGGGCCAUUUUUGGUAAGCAAAACUUACGAUGCCCAACUGCGCACUAACAUAGAUUCCACAAAGGGUGUUGCUUGAUUAAGACAGCAGGACGGUGGUCAUGGAAGUCAAAAUCCACUAAGGAGUGUGUAACAACUCACCUGCCGAGUCAACUAGCCCCAAAAAUGGAUGGCGCUGAAGCGCGCGAUCUAUACCGGGCCAUCGGGGCAAGGGCCAGGCACGAUGAGUAGGAGGGCACGGCGGUCGCUGCAAAACCCUAGGCACGAGCCCGGGUGGAGCGGCCAUCGGUGCGGAUCUUGGUGGCAGCAGCAAAUAUUCAAGUGAGAACUUUGAAGGCCGAAGAGGGGAAAGGUUCCAUGUGAAUGGCACUUGCACAUGGGUUAGUCGAUCCUAAGAGUCGGGGGAAGCCCGACAGAUAGCACAUUCAGCGCGUGCUAUGAAAGGGAAUCGGGUUAAAAUUCUCGAACCGGGACGAUGCUGUUGACGGGAAUGUUAGGGAGUCUGGAGACUUCGGUGGGGGGCCUCGGGAAGAGUUAUCUUUUCUGUUUAACAGCCCACCCACCCUGGAAAUGGCUCAGCCGGAGGUAGGGUCCAGCGGCUGGAAGAGCACCGCACGUCACGUGGUGUCCGGUGCACCCCCUGGCGGCCCUUGAAAAUUCGAAUGACCAAGUAUCGUCCGCGCCAGGUCCUACUUAUAACUGCAUCAGGUCUCCAAGGUGAACAGUCUCUGGUCGAUGGAAUAAUGUAGGCAAGGAAAGUCGGCAAAAUGAAUUUGUAACCUCGGGAAGAGGAUUGGCUCUGAGGGCUGGGCACGGGGUCCCAGACCCGAACCCGUUGGCUGUCGGUGAACUGGUCAAGCUGCUCGUGCGGCGAGAGCGGGUCGUCGCAUGCCGGUCGGGGGAUGGACUGGGAAUGGCUCCCUCGGGGGCCUUCCCCGGGCAUCGAACAGUCGAAUCAGAACUGGUACGGACAAGGGGAAUCCGACUGUUUAAUUAAAACAACCAUUGUGAUGGUCCCUGCGGAUGCUCACGCAAUGUGAUUUUUGCCCAGUGCUCUGAAUGUCAAAGUGAAGAAAUUCAACCAAGCGCGGGUAAACGGUGGGAGUAACUAUAACUCUGAAUAUAGAUGUUAAUAUUCAUAAAAAGACCGAGGUCAGAAAUCACAUUACGUAGGGUUUCACAAUGGUUAUGCUGAUACCAUGUGUGUCAUUUAAAACGAGAACUAUAUGGCCUUCGCGAGGCGCCACUUGCUUGGUACAAAAUUGUGUCAAAUUUACUUAACAUAAAUAAAAUGUGUCUAAUAAAAAUAAAAUUUAUUUAUGUAUGAAAAAAGGAAUCACAUUUCUCCACCAAUAAUCUUAUACAUCUCAUAAACGUGACAUUUCACCUUUCCAUUUGAAUUCACCAAAAUUUAUUGCAAAUCAAUCAAAUUUUUUUUAUGAUUCCACAUCUAUAUGACGCACAAGAAGGAUGUGAUGAGGUCUUCAAACCCAAAUAAUAAUAUGAUCAGAUGAAUUUUUUAUUUAUUUUUUAUUUUUUUGUUCAUGGUAUAUAUGAUACAUACAAAUUGAUCUUUGAUAUUGUAAAUGGAGUUGUUUUAUGUUGGUAUUAGUAUAGAUAAAGUAGAAGAACUGUUAACACGUUUCUUCAACUCUGCUUCUAUUAGUACACUACAAAAAAACCUUGAAUAAAGAUGGUUUUGGAGAUGACUUUUAGUGAUUUGAGAUGAUUUUUUGCACAGUUUUAUGGCCGGUCAGUUAAAUUUGUGAUGGUAUUAGAGAUGGUUUUUUACCGUCUC
rnacentral:rRNA from 1 species